CAAACUUCAGAUUGGUCUUUAUAUCACUAAUAUUUUUAAUACCCAACCUGUGAUAGACCGAUAAUGGCAUCAGAUUCACACUGGCUCCCGAAUCUAUUAGUACCUUUUUGAAGGUUCUUUCUUUGAUUGUGCACGGUACUGUGACGGUUCCUGGAUCCUUUUGUUUGUUAGGAAUGUUCUGCUCCAGGGAGUUUGCAUUAUAUUGUUCCUUACCAGAUACCUGUUCUUCAGUGGUUGGUUUCUUUUCAGCCAUUACCUCUUCCACGAAUUUCUUGUACAUGGGCAUCCUUUCAAGUGCUUCAAACAAAGUCAUAUGACCCUCAAUCCUUUUAAACAUUUUUAUGAAUUUCUCGAAGUCUGACUCACUAGGUUCCUUCUUUGUCACUCUCUGAGGGUAGGGCAACUUAAUCACCGGUUUAGUUCCUUUUGUAGUUUCUUCUUUAGUCGGCUCGCUCG
rnacentral:lncRNA from 1 species